CGAGCUGGUUGGAGGUGAAGAACAAGGCGCCUGCGCGACCCCUGGUCCCGCCCACCCUCGGGCAAUCCCAGGGUUACCAGUAACUUUCAGGCUGAGGCGUAGGGAUUGGGAAUCGAAAAGUUUAUCUAACCCGAAGCAAACUUGGCUGGACCCGCCCUGAACCUCCUCCGCUCCACCCGGUUCCCUCUGCGCUCGUCUCCACUGCCAGUUUGUUUCUGGGAGGUUUCACCUUUCUCCUUUCUUCCUCAGUUGCGUGCAAGCAUUAGACCGACUUCGGAUCCGGGAAAGAGGCCCGACAGACUGGAGAAGUCCAGUUGUGAGGAGCUGGGGAGCUGGGUGAUGGUGUGAGGCACGGUCCACAGCCUGGGGUCCCCGAUGGCACGGCUGCCGGGGUUUGCACGUGUGCUGAUCCUCAUGGGACCAGCCGGGGAGGUGGGAUGGGGUUGGCCCUACACUCCAGUCUAACCCUCGCUGGAAGGAAGGGAAGGGGCGGUGCGGGAGACAGUGGCCCUGUGUGCUGUUACCUAAGUGGCCGGUGUCACAAAGAGCCCCUCAAGGGUGUUCAAAGAGACCUGUGUUUUACCCAGAAUUGGAAAAGGAAUAGAGACCUUAUCUUUGUAUUUGUUUACUUCCCACCUGAGGCAGAGAAUAGAUACGCGUAAAAGCAGGUUUCUAAAUUAAAAGCGAAAACAAAACAAAACGUACUUAUCACUCAGUACCAGCAGCCCAACACCAGCAAAACCUAAGCCACCAACUGCACUUCUCUUUGUGUGCCAAGUCGCCUGUUUAAUAAUUUAGUAGCAGCUAUGCAUCCGGCUGUGUUCUAAGCUUGAGAUGUGUUGGAGAAUAAAUCAUCUUCCCUCCUCUGGUGGCUAUGACAUGCAAAGGGAUAAGGACGGGCUGGCAGAGGGGGAGCACGCACACCACAGGCAAAUUACUGGGAUGUCAGACUAGAUGAGGAUGAAGAAAAGGACAAAUAGGAUACGGAUAGCUGGAGCCCUUGUGUGUGUGGGGCCCAGGUUAUAGAACGAGAUCGUGUUGGACUGUGGAGGACUCCUCCUGCAGGCGGGAGGGAGCUUAGCAGAGUAUGGGGGUGUGUGAUGGAGGAGGGUCGGAGACUCUGAGGGGAAAGAGAAAUUCAUGCAGAUUUGAGCGAGGGGCUCUACAAUCUGCUGCAGCGGGAACCCCCACUGUAGAAGCAGAGAAAGAAACAAGCUAGAGAGGCAGGUGGCACAGAGCAGCCUCACGGCCCUGCAAGUGGGACAGGCGCUUGGAAUCCCACCGAUUUGAAAGGACCACUGAUAGUUCCGAAGAGGUUGAUAUGCGAACAAAGAGUGAUGAUGCCCCUGUCCCUCUUUUUCUCCACCUCAUUGAGCCUAAGAGGAUGUACCUUAAUAGACAGUGGGCCCCAGGUUAGUUAGUGCUGGCCUCUACCCUUUUCUUUUGAUUCUUUGAACUUACCCUCCUACAAAAUCCUUUGGACACUGCUUUACCGACCACCCUUGUCAGCCUCUUCAGAAAAUUGGGGUCCAUUUUGUUCUACUGUUGGGAUCCAUCUGUGGAGUCCCUACAGAGGGAAUUCUAAAUAAACCACGGUCAACACAUACUUCUUUAGAGUAUUUUGAGAUGGCUGUUCAAAGGGGCUGUAGACCUGAGGUAGCUCUGAAAAGCUGUGCUUUGUGGGUAACUUGCGCCUGGGAUGAAGGCAUAGCGUAGUUGCAAAGGAGCUUUUCACCGAAGAGGGAGACCAGGGUGACACCUGUCCCAAAGUAGCUUUUGAUGACGGUCACUUGGGGGAACUUACUUACCAGAGAAACUUCCUUCUGUGCCUUCAGUUCUUUCUUUACAGUGAGCUCAAGCUUCAGUCUCUACUGGCCAAGAGUGCUGUUUUAGCUUCCACUACCUAGCCUCGUCCCCUUAUUUUAAGUCUUGCCCUGGCAGACAGCUCACGUUUCUACACAUUAGUAAAUUCAUAUGUGUUUUCUCAUCAGCCUGUUUAUCACUAGUUAAUUUUGCGGGUCAAGAUUGCUGAAGCCUCAGAGGGAAAGGAGAACACAAGCCUUCCCUAGAGUGUCACGUUCUAAAUACCACUAAGACCAGAGGGGCUUAUGAGGUCCACCGCUUCCUGAGGAUCUGUAAGCAGUUAAUGAUUGCUGAGGGAAGAAGGGACAUUUUCCUCAAUAGUGUGGCCACUGAUAAGCCCAUGUGCCCGUUUUGUCAUUUUCCCAGUUUGAAGAGUCAGUGGAACGUGUCUGACCUGGUUUCUCUCCACUGCCCUGCUGCCCUGCCUGAGCAAUCUCUUCUCAUCCGGGACUUUGCUGGGUUUACCAUAGGUUCAAAUGGCCCAGGAGGCUGCCACAGACCUCUUUCUCAUAACAGAUUACCUCUUGCAGCUCUUCAUUUUAAAGAUUUUGGGGAUGGUAGAAAGAGAAUAAACUCAUAUAAGAUUAGCUCAUUGUUUACGAGUUGUUUCCCCCAAGCCCUUUACUUGGAGAUUUUACAAAAAGAUGGCCCCGGAAGACUGAGGGCUGAGAGAGCCCUUAAGUUGGAAACAGCAGCUUUCACAAUGGUUCCCUGUGGCUUAAACAAAUAAAAGUGACAUCAGUGGAUUUUCA